rnacentral:rRNA from 1 species
UACGUAGGCGGAAAAUUAAGUCAGUAGUGAAAUCCCGCAGCUUAACUGUGGAACUGUUAUUGAUACUGGUUUUCUUGAAUAUAGUUGAGGUAGGCGGAAUGUGUAAUGUAGCGGUGAAAUGCUUAGAUAUUACACAGAACACCGAUUGCGAAGGCAGCUUACUAAGCUAUGAUUGACGCUGAGGUACGAAAGCGUGGGGAGCGAACAGGAUUAGAUACCCUGGUAGUAC